CCUACGGGUGGCAGCAGUGGGGAAUAUUGGACAAUGGGGGGAACCCUGAUCCAGCCAUGCCGCGUGUGUGAAGAAGGCCCUCGGGUUGUAAAGCACUUUCAGUGAGGAAGAACGCCUGGUGGUUAAUACCCAUCAGGAAAGACAUCACUCACAGAAGAAGCACCGGCUAACUCCGUGCCAGCAGCCGCGGUAAUACGGAGGGUGCGAGCGUUAAUCGGAAUUACUGGGCGUAAAGCGCGCGUAGGUGGCUUGAUAAGCCGGUUGUGAAAGCCCCGGGCUCAACCUGGGAACGGCAUCCGGAACUGUCAAGCUAGAGUGCAGGAGAGGAAGGUAGAAUUCCCGGUGUAUCGGUGAAAUGCGUAGAGAUCGGGAGGAAUACCAGUGGCGAAGGCGGCCUUCUGGACUAACACUGACACUGAGGUGCGAAAGCGUGGGUAGCAAACAGGAUUAGAUACCCUGGUAGUC
rnacentral:rRNA from 1 species